rnacentral:lncRNA from 1 species
ACUGUGACCUGUUGCUGAGGUGAUCUGAUGAUAUAGGUCUUGCCUUUCAUUUUAACUGCCAUUCUGGCAACUGAACGUUGGCAGUAAACGCAGCUUAGUUGUCUCAGAGGACUCACAAUGGGAUGUGCUUAUAGUUGUUGCCUCGAAGUGUGUUGUGGCGAGGAUGAAAUAGUGUAUCCUAGGAUGCCAGGGGAAUCCACCGUCUGCCACCGCGAGCGUGAGAAGCCAAUCACCUAUCACUGGUAUCACUGGCAUCCCGGCCAUAUAUACCCUAGAGUUGCAUCAAUGGAAGAUUACGAUGAGGACCUGGUGCAGGAAGCUUCAUCUGAAGAUGUCCUGGGCGUUCAUAUGGUGGACAAAGACACAGAGAGAGACAUUGAGAUGAAACGGCAACUACGGCGACUACGGGAGCUCCACCUAUACAGCACAUGGAAGAAGUACCAAGAGGCGAUGAAGACAUCCUUGGGAGUUCCACAAUGUGAGCGUGACGAAGGCUCCUUGGGCAAGCCAUUGUGUCCACCCGAGAUACUCUCGGAGACGUUGCCAGGCUCUGUGAAGAAAAGGGUAUGCUUUCCAUCAGAAGAUCAUCUAGAGGAGUUUAUAGCAGAACAUCUCCCUGAAGCAUCCAAUCAGAGUCUCCUCACUGUUGCCCAUGCAGACACAGGCAUCCAAACCAACGGUGACCUGGAAGACCUGGAGGAGCAUGGGCCAGGGCAGACAGUCUCUGAGGAAGCCACAGAAGUUCACAUGAUGGAGGGGGACCCAGACACACUGGCCGAACUUCUGAUCAGGGAUGUACUUCAGGAGCUGUCCAGUUACAACGGCGAGGAGGAGGACCCAGAGGAGGUGAAGACAUCCUUGGGAGUUCCACAACGUGGUGACCUGGAAGACCUGGAGGAGCAUGUGCCAGGGCAGACAGUCUCUGAGGAAGCCACAGGGGUUCACAUGAUGCAGGUGGACCCAGCCACGCCGGCAAAGAGUGACCUGGAAGACCUGGAGGAGCAUGUGCCAGGGCAGACAGUCUCUGAGGAAGCCACAGGGGUUCACAUGAUGCAGGUGGACCCAGCCACACUGGCAAAGCGUACGUAUUCUGGGAUCAUCUCUUUGUUUAGGUGUGAAAUCUUAGUGUUGUAAAGGUAGUGCUGCUUCACCUGCUUUUGCUCAAGGGCCACUCUGGUUUGAGCUUUCUGCCAGAAAUGAGAUUUGGGAAUUUUGGUUUAAAAACUACUAAGAGUCACACCGGGCACAGUGGCUCACGCCUGUAAUCCCAGCACCUUGAGAGGCGGAGACGGGCGGAUCAGCAGAGGUCAGGAGUUUGAGACCAGCCUGACUGACAUUGAGAAACCCCACCGCUCCUAAAAAUACAAAAUUACCUGGGUGUGGUGUCACAUGCCUGCAAUCCCAGCUACUCAGGAGGCCAAGGCAGGAGAAUCACUUGAACCGAGGUGGUAGAGGUUGAGGUGAGCCAAGGUUGUGCCAUUGCACUCCAGCCUGGGCAACGAGCGAAACUCCGUCUCAAAAAAAAAAAAAAAA